rnacentral:rRNA from 1 species
UGAAGAAUAUUGCGCAAUGGGGGGCAACCCUGACGCAGCAACGCCGCGUGAAGGAUGAAGGUUUUCGGAUUGUAAACUUCUUUUAUCAAGGACGAAGAAUGUGACGGUACUUGAUGAAUAAGCCACGGCUAACUACGUGCCAGCAGCCGCGGUGAUACGUAGGUGGCAAGCGUUAUCCGGAUUUACUGGGUGUAAAGGGCGAGUAGGCGGGCAGACAAGUCAGAUGUGAAAUCUGGGGGCUUAACCCCCAAAGCUGCAUUUGAAACUGUAGGUCUUGAGUGAUGGAGAGGCAGGCGGAAUUCCCGGUGUAGCGGUGGAAUGCGUAGAUAUCGGGAGGAACACCAGUGGCGAAGGCGGCCUGCUGGACAUUAACUGACGCUGAGGAGCGAAAGCGUGGGGAGCAAACAGGAUUAGAUACCC